AUUGAACGCUGGCGGCAGGCCUAACACAUGCAAGUCGAGCGGAUGAAGGGAGCUUUCUCCUGGAUUCAGCGGCGGACGGGUGAGUAAUGCCUAGGAAGCUGCCUGGUAUUUGGGGAUAACGUCCGGAAACGGGCGCUAAUACCGCAUACGUCCUGAUGGUGAAAGUGGGGGAUCUUCGGUGCUCACGCUAUCAGAUGUGCCUAGGUCGUAUUAGCUAGUUGGUUGGGUAAAGGCCUACCAAGGCGACGAUCCGUAACUGGUCUGAGAGGAUGAUCAGUCACACUGGAACUGAGACACGGUCCAGACUCCUACGGGAGGCAGCAGUGGGGAAUAUUGGACAAUGGGCGAAAGCCUGAUCCAGCCAUGCCGCGUGUGUGAAGAAGGUCUUCGGAUUGUAAAGCACUUUAAGUUGGGAGGAAGGGCAGUAAGUUAAUACCUUGCUGUUUUGACGUUACCAACAGAAUAAGCACCGGCUAACUUCGUG
rnacentral:rRNA from 1 species